rnacentral:rRNA from 1 species
UGAAUGGCAAAACGAAAGCUUAACUGUCUCCUUAGAUUAAUCAAUGAAAUUGAUCUUUCCGUGCAGAAGCGGAGAUAUCUUUAUAAGACAAAAAGACCCCAUGGAGCUUCAAAUCUAAAUUAAUCACAUAUACUAAAAAUAUAAUAAACAACUUAAUACAAGAUUUUGGGUUGGGGCGACCGCGGAGUAAACUUUAACCUCCGAGACAAAUAAUUAAGAAAGACAUUUCAAAAUGAUAAAAUAGCUAAUACACUUGAUCCAAUAUUUGAUCAACGAACCAAGUUACCCUGGGGAUAACAGCGCAAUCCUUUUAGAGAGUUCAUAUCGACAAGGGGGUUUACGACCUCGAUGUUGGAUCAGGGCCCCCAAAUGGUGCAGCAACUAUUAAAGGUUCGUUUGUUCAACGAUUAAAGCCCUACGUGAUCUGAGUU